rnacentral:rRNA from 1 species
AACGAACGCUGGCGGCAGGCUUAACACAUGCAAGUCGAACGCCCCGCAAGGGGAGUGGCAGACGGGUGAGUAACGCGUGGGAACGUGCCCUUCGCUUCGGAAUAGCCUCGGGAAACUGGGAGUAAUACCGAAUACGCCGUAUUGGGAAAGAUUUAUCGGCGAAGGAUCGGCCCGCGUUAGAUUAGGUAGUUGGCGGUGUAAUGGACCACCAAGCCUACGAUCUAUAGCUGGUCUGAGAGGAUGAUCAGCCACACUGGGACUGAGACACGGCCCAGACUCCUACGGGAGGCAGCAGUGGGGAAUCUUGGACAAUGGGCGCAAGCCUGAUCCAGCCAUGCCGCGUGGGUGAAGAAGGCCUUAGGGUUGUAAAACUCUUUCGCCGGAGAAGAUAAUGACGGUAUCCGGAGAAGAAGCCCCGGCCAACUUCGUGCCAGCCGCCGCGGUAAUAC